UAGUCCUGGCCAAUCUCCCUAGCGGAUAAGCGCCAUCCCGCUUGAGGAGCAACAACAACAACAACAACAUCGGGGAUAGGUUUCGUGCAACUUGCUGGGCUCUGAAUGUAGUAAACCCGCGUUGACAGAAAAUGUAUUUCAUUUACAGCGCAGCAGUGGCGUUCCACCACGCUUUCCGUGGAACAGAGGGUUCUGAUGGCACUGCGAUUCUAUGGAACCGGCGCCUUUCUCGAUAACGUCGCUCAUGAGGAGUAUUUCGCAACGACAAAGCGACCGGUUUCAGAGGCCAUUCAUGCGGUCAGCAUGGCCAUCAUAAAAAACCUGGCUCCCAGCUGCUUGCGAUUUCCUUCAACCCCUGAAGAAAAGAUGGCUGUGAAGCGUGGCUUCUAUAAUAUAAAAGGCCUGCCUGGUUGUCUUGGCGCAGUUGAUGGGACGGCAGUCUCAAUCAUCGCACCAAGCACAGCAGAUCCACGCUUCAUUGAUGGCAACUAUUACUGCCAUAAGGGGUAUCAUGCAUUGAACUGGGGAUCUGCGAUGCAAGUCGACGGAUACUCCACAUUAAUGCAAGAUACCCAGGAAGCUGCCACGAUGCUGCCAUCUGGAGCUUGUGCAGGAUACGCCAGAGGGCCUCGGUCCUUUUUGCAGAGGGAAAGUGGCUACUAGGGGACCUCGGCUACCCACUUGAGCCCUGGCUCAUGACUCCUUUUCGGUCUCCUAGAACAGACAAAGAGGAAGCAUUCAACAAGGCUCACAGCAGCACAGAGUUCGGAUCGAACAGUGUUUUGGAGUGUUGAAGAUGCGCUUCGGGUGCUAGCAGCGUUACCGCACUCUGCACUUUGCACCAGACAGGGCCUGUAACACCAUUACUGCAUGUGCCAUUCUGCACAACAUAUGUCACUCGUACAAUUUGCCUAUGCCAACUGAGGAGCAUGACGUGAUGACUGUAGAAAAUGACAGUGACCAUGAGGAAUCUGACGAGGACGAUUUUGGAGCUGCCGAUAAUCCCAGCCGUGACACUUCAACAUCUCAGGCAAUGCGCAUACGCAAUAGAAUUGUGGACAUAUACUUUUAAGUUUUAACACAUACAAAAACAUAAAAGGCGCCUCAUCCAAACUA